ensembl:lncRNA
GCCCUUUAUCCUGCUGUUAGUCGCUCAGUCCUGCCUGGGGAAGCCUUUGUCUGGGUCACCUUGAAACUCAACCUCCAGAUCUUGUAGCAUGUUCAUAAAUUUCCUCAUUUUCUAUAGGUUUACCAGCAUGGAAUGGACAUUUAAAACCACCAUUUUUGAACAUGAAAAAGGAAUGACAUGGAUCCGUGCAUAGAAUCCUAGCAUUUCAAUACCUUAAUAGAAAAAAAUUGAAGUUGAGAAAGGAACACAGAGCCUGGAGUAUGCUAACCAAGUGCUCUGCCACUAAGCUAUGGCACCAGCCCCCAUCAAGAACUUACAGCUAAGUCCCAUCGUCUUCUUAUCCUGACAAAUGAGAACCUAUGGCUCAGAAAAAUCUCUAGAAUGACAUUCUCAAAGUCACCAGACUUGUAGAAAUGAUGUGUCACUUCAUAAUCUCACUCUUGCAGCAAAAACACAGGCAAAGCAAUUGACUACAAGAUUUGGGAGGAUGUCAUCUUCAAAGUGAGGUCAAUUCAUCUAAGAGAGGUCACUUGUAAAGUUACUCAGUGUUGUACUGCUGGUUUCUGCUUGUUGGAUAAGGGCUGUUCAAUCAUGGAGCAGUCCAAAAAAAGACUACUACUUUUUGACUGGGAAGGCAGUGGUGGGGGUGGGGUUUAACCCAGGGCUUUGAACAUGACAAGCAUAGUCUACUGAGUCACAAGCCCCUAGCUCCCUAGUUUCGUCAUUUUGCUUCAAAUGUGAAAGAUGGUCCCUAAGGACUUUCUUCAUGCCUGAAAGUUUGAUGGGGACAGUCUGUUUUAUAAUUGGCAUCUAGAGGCCCAGCACUGUCCUCACUGUGCCCUGGGAGUAAGUAUUUGGUAAAUGUACAGUAAAUGAAGAAAAAAAAAAUUCUUACAUGAUGUCCUGGUGGUAGUGGCUCAUGCCAUUGAUCCCAGCACUUGAGAGCCAGAGGUAGGCGGAUCUCUGUGAGUUCAAGCCAGACUGGUUGACAAGCCUGUUACACAAGGAACCCCUGUAUCAAAAAACAAACAAACAAAAAACCUCCAAAAAACAAACAAAAAAAAUUAAAAGGUAAAAAUAAAAAUCUAAGAUGAUGAGCGCUUUCCUGUUCGAAUGGAGACAACAGCCGGGAACUUCAGUAUUUUGCAUGUGUUAUUUAACUUUUGGUCCUCAAAGCAACUGCCAGAAAUAGAUAUUAACAGCCUCGUUUUUUACUCUGAGGCUCAGGGUUUAAAGGUGAGAGAGACAGGGCUGGAAU